CAGCCGCCGCGGUAAUACGUAGGUGGCAAGCGUUGUCCGGAAUUAUUGGGCGUAAAGCGCGCGCAGGUGGUUUAAUAAGUCUGAUGUGAAAGCCCACGGCUCAACCGUGGAGGGUCAUUGGAAACUGUUAAACUUGAGUGCAGGAGAGAAAAGUGGAAUUCCUGGUGUAGCGGUGAAAUGCGUAGAGAUUAGGAGGAACACCAGUGGCGAAGGCGACUUUCUGGACUGCAGCUGACACUGAGGCACGAAAGCGUGGGGAGCGAACAGGAUUAGAUACCCGUGUAGUCCCUGUCUCUUAUAC
rnacentral:rRNA from 1 species